CAAAGAGUAGUUUAUUUAAAAUAUUAAUUUUGGGGAUUAAUGAUAAGUAUAUUCUUUUCUUUUCUUUGA
rnacentral:tRNA from 1 species